rnacentral:rRNA from 1 species
CCUACGGGAGGCAGCAGUAGGGAAUCUUCCGCAAUGGACGAAAGUCUGACGGAGCAACGCCGCGUGAACGAUGAAGGCCUUCGGGUCGUAAAGUUCUGUUGUUAGGGAAGAACAAGUGCUAGUUAAAUAAGCUGGCACCUUGACGGUACCUAACCAGAAAGCCACGGCUAACUACGUGCCAGCAGCCGCGGUAAUACGUAGGUGGCAAGCGUUGUCCGGAAUUAUUGGGCGUAAAGCGCGCGCAGGCGGUUUCUUAAGUCUGAUGUGAAAGCCCCCGGCUCAACCGGGGAGGGUCAUUGGAAACUGGGAAACUUGAGUGCAGAAGAGGAAAGUGGAAUUCCAAGUGUAGCGGUGAAAUGCGUAGAGAUUUGGAGGAACACCAGUGGCGAAGGCGACUUUCUGGUCUGUAACUGACGCUGAGGCGCGAAAGCGUGGGGAGCAAACAGGAUUAGAUACCCUGGUAGUCCACGCUGUAAACGAUGAGUGCUAAGUGUUAGAGGGUUUUCCGCCCUUUUAGUGCUGAAGUUAACGCAUUAAGCACUCCGCCUGGGGAUACGGUCGCAAGACUGAAACUCAAAGGAUUGACGG